GAGAUAUAUUGAUCUUCCAAUCCAAGAACUUAUAAGGAGUUCAUAUAAACAUAUUAAUGCCCCUGCGCGAGGGCCCACUUGAAUAGUGAAAGUGGGAGCGAUGCGGGGGCAACAGCUCGGCCAUAGCGAGGUCCCCACGGAAGGGCUUUCCGCGUUACGGAGCAACAAUGACCGUGGGAAACCCUGGCCGAGUACAAUUCUCUAAGAACUUGCCCGCCUGGGUUACCUCGCUUGAGUUUUGGCGUUAGCCUUCAAUGAGAGCGAGGGUUACGGGCGGGCUACAAAUAU
rnacentral:snoRNA from 1 species